GUGAGGAAUUUUCCGCAAUGGGCGAAAGCCUGACGGAGCAAUGCCGCGUGAAGGAUGAAGGCCUAUGGGUUGUAAACUUCUUUUCUCAGAAAAGAAUUAUGACGGUAUCUGAGGAAUAAGCAUCGGCUAACUCUGUGCCAGCAGCCGCGGUAAGACAGAGGAUGCAAGCGUUAUCCGGAAUGAUUGGGCGUAAAGCGUCUGUAGGUUGUUUAAAAAGUAUUCUGUCAAAGAUUAGGGCUUAACCCUAGAUAGGCAGAAUAAACUUUUAAGCUGAAGUUUGGUAGAGGCAGAGGGAAUUCCCGGUGGAGCGGUGAAAUGCGUAGAUAUCGGGAGGAACACCAAAGGCGAAGGCACUCUGCUGGGCCAAUACUAACACUGAGAGACGAAAGCGAGGGGAGCAAAUGGGAUUAGAAACCCGAGUAGUCC
rnacentral:rRNA from 1 species